rnacentral:lncRNA from 1 species
UGUGCACGCGUCGCCUCGUCUAUCUUUUUUUUUUUUUGCGCAUUGUCUUGCUUACCAAUGCCCGAAAGCAGAGCUAGUUGGUAGGAAUACAUGAUAAAAGAUGGUAGGCAUACAACACGGACACAAGAGAGAAGUUGGGACAACACAAACGCCGACUAACCUUAUUCGGCUAGUCGGUUAGUCAGCAUUUGUGUUGUCCCGACUUCUCUCUUGUGUUCAUGUUUGCAUGCCUACCGUCUUUCAUGAAUCGCCUACCAAGUAUCUUCUCGUGUGAAGAGUGGUGUCUUUGGUACUCUGAAGUUGUUUGCACUAAAUGACAGAAAUUGUUUUUCUCUUUAAAAUCCUUUAACCCGUUUCCUACCACAGACGAUCUGAGUUCGUACACAGUUUGUACUGCUCCUACCGAAGAACUGGGCUCGUCCAUGCUGAAAGAAGCGUUUGGCAUGCCUGGAAAAGUACAUCAAAGCACACCCCAUCUGGCUGACUGCACUACCUCAAGGAAACUGCCUUUCUCCCAUCUGCAAGUUCCUAAGAAGUUACUAAUGAAGCAAGCCAGCAGGGCGUACGUGUUAGGCAUGGCAGCAUGGAGAACAAAUAAACAUGAGUAUUUGGUGCAA